AGUAAUGCGUGACCAACCUGCCCCAUGCUCCAGAAUAGCUCUUGGAAACGGGUGGUAAUGCUGGAUGCUCCAACUUGACGCAUGUCUUGUUGGGAAAGUGUUUAGUGGCAUGGGAUGGGGGUCGCGGUCCUAUCAGCUUGUAGGCGGGGUAAUGGGCCCACCUAGGCUUCGACGGGUAGCCGGCCUGAGAGGGCGGACGGCCACAUUGGGACUGAGAUACGGCCCAGACUCCUACGGGAGGCAGCAGCC
rnacentral:rRNA from 1 species